rnacentral:rRNA from 1 species
AACGCGAAGAACCUUACCAGGUCUUGACAUCCUGUGCUACACCUAGAGAUAGGUGGUUCCCUUCGGGGACGCAGAGACAGGUGGUGCAUGGCUGUCGUCAGCUCGUGUCGUGAGAUGUUGGGUUAAGUCCCGCAACGAGCGCAACCCUUGUCUUUAGUUGCCAUCAUUAAGUUGGGCACUCUAAAGAGACUGCCGGUGACAAACCGGAGGAAGGUGGGGAUGACGUCAAAUCAUCAUGCCCCUUAUGACCUGGGCUACACACGUGCUACAAUGGGCAGUACAACGAGAAGCGAACCCGCGAGGGUAAGCGGAUCUCUUAAAGCUGUUCUCAGUUCGGACUGCAGGCUGCAACUCGCCUGCACGAAGCUGGAAUCGCUAGUAAUCGCGAUCAGCACGC